GGAGGGAUGGCAGAGCGGUUGAAUGCACUGGUCUUGAAAACCAGCAAGGGCGCAAGCCCUUCCGGGGUUCGAAUCCCCGUCCCUCCGCCA
rnacentral:tRNA from 1 species